ACACAUGCAAGUCGAACGAAGCACUUUGAUCGAUUUCUUCGGAUUGAAAUUUUAGUGACUGAGUGGCGGACGGGUGAGUAACGCGUGGGUAACCUGCCUCACACAGGGGGAUAACAGUUGGAAACGGCUGCUAAUACCGCAUAAGCGCACAGUACCGCAUGGUACAGUGUGAAAAACUCCGGUGGUGUGAGAUGGACCCGCGUCUGAUUAGCUAGUUGGCAGGGUAACGGCCUACCAAGGCGACGAUCAGUAGCCGACCUGAGAGGGUGACCGGCCACAUUGGGACUGAGACACGGCCCAAACUCCUACGGGAGGCAGCAGUGGGGAAUAUUGCACAAUGGGGGAAACCCUGAUGCAGCGACGCCGCGUGAGCGAAGAAGUAUUUCGGUAUGUAAAGCUCUAUCAGCAGGGAAGAAGAAAUGACGGUACCUGACUAAGAAGCACCGGCUAAAUACGUGCCAGCAGCCGCGGUAAUACGUACGGUGCAAGCGUUAUCCGGAUUUACUGGGUGUAAAGGGAGCGCAGGCGGAAGGCUAAGUCUGAUGUGAAAGCCCGGGGCUCAACCCCGGUACUGCAUUGGAAACUGGUCAUCUAGAGUGUCGGAGGGGUAAGUGGAAUUCCUAGUGUAGCGGUGAAAUGCGUAGAUAUUAGGAGGAACACCAGUGGCGAAGGCGGCUUACUGGACGAUAACUGACGCUGAGGCUCGAAAGCGUGGGG
rnacentral:rRNA from 1 species